rnacentral:rRNA from 1 species
AUUGAACGCUGGCGGCAUGCUUUACACAUGCAAGUCGAACGGUAACAGGGAGCUUGCUCCGCUGACGAGUGGCGAACGGGUGAGUAAUGCAUCGGAACGUACCCAGUCGUGGGGGAUAACGUAGCGAAAGUUACGCUAAUACCGCAUACGUCCUGAGGGAGAAAGCGGGGGACCGUAAGGCCUCGCGCGAUUGGAGCGGCCGAUGUCGGAUUAGCUAGUUGGUAGGGUAAAGGCCUACCAAGGCGACGAUCCGUAGCGGGUCUGAGAGGAUGAUCAGCCACACUGGGACUGAGACACGGCCCAGACUCCUACGGGAGGCAGCAGUGGGGAAUAUUGGACAAUGGGCGCAAGCCUGAUCCAGCAAUGCCGCGUGUGUGAAGAAGGCCUGCGGGUUGUAAAGCACUUUCAGUGGGGAAGAACGGAUACGGCCGAAUACCCCGCAUCACUGACGUUACCCACAGAAGAAGCACCGGCUAAACUCCGUGCCAGCAGCCGCGGUAAU